rnacentral:rRNA from 1 species
GACGUAGGGCGCGAGCGUUGUCCGGAUUUACUGGGCGUAAAGAGCUCGUAGGCGGCUUGUCGCGUCGUUCGUGAAAUCUUGGGGCUCAACCCCAAGCUUGCGGUCGAUACGGGCAGGCUAGAGUUCGGUAGGGGAGACUGGAAUUCCUGGUGUAGCGGUGAAAUGCGCAGAUAUCAGGAGGAACACCGGUGGCGAAGGCGGGUCGCUGGGCCGAUACUGACGCUGAGGAGCGAAAGCGUGGGGAGCAAACAGG